GCUUGUGCCUUCUGCGUUACGGCACAGCCUUAAACCCACAAGGGCCACAUCAGAAUAACAAACCUUAAAGACCCUCUCUCUCUCUCUCUCUCUCUCUAGCAUCGUGGCUCUUCCGCAUCCUCUAAAAUCUCAAAGCAAAAUUCCAUGGGAGCUUCACUCUCAUAAACCCUGCACCAAAACCCACAAAAUCGACUUACCCAGAAGCGCUAAUCACAUGCAUUUUUCUAUGGAUUUGAGAAGGCUUUCAAUCCCAAAACCCCAUCUUUUCUCUUCUCCCCCAUCAACCGCCCGUGCGUGACCUGCACCGCACCGCCCAACACCGCCCCCAAGAACCUCCACGACCGCCGCCAUUGCAGCUUCCGGAUCAACCGGAGCCGACCGAUCAGAGUUUGCACAACUGGGGAAUUCGAUUGCAUUGAGCGCAUGCAACAAGCCUUUUCAACCCAUAGGUGACCCUGAUGGAACGAGUGAAGUCUCGUGAGGGUUUCCAGAGACGUUACCCACAAACAUCAAGUCAUAGUUAUGAUCAUGGAUGCCUAUAGGCUGUAAAGAGAUCCUCAUUUCCAGCGUCAGGAGCUGGCUUGACUGCGCAGAGGACUGCGUCCGAAUGACCUAUCUUGUAUGGCCUUAAAUAGAGGUUGCUCUUCACAUGGCGCAUUCGGAAGCUUGAAUUGCCUGGCUUAUGCUCGAAGGAUGUGGAAUCUUCAUCAUCCUUCUCAGCAGCGGCCACGAUCAACCAUGUUUCAUAAGUUUGAUUCCACACUCCUUUCAAGUAUAAUUUGUUUUCAGAGCACUUGAUUUUCACGUAUCCCGUUUGAAAACAUAUUUAGGAUCCUCUUCGGUGAAUUCGAGAAUCCCCCUUUGACCUCCGAUUUCUCCAUCUAAGUGCAAGUACUUGCUGUUGUGGUUAGAUUGCCACGCAAAAGGGUUUGGUAGUGGUGCUGCCAUGUUAAAUGGGGAUGAUCACGCUCACUUGUCUCUUUUUUUUUUCUCCCUUCCCUCUUCUCUCUUUCUCGUUUUCUCGUGUGAUUUACUUGCUCCAUAGCUUCGAACGUGCUACCCUAUUUAUAUUCAAGGAUAAGCCCACACCAUGUUUCUAUAUUCACAUUAUGUGUUCACACUGAUGGCUUCCUAUAAGGAUCGAGUUUUUAUUUU